GACUCGGUAGUUUAGUUAGUAAAACACUUGCCUAGCGUACAAGGGUCAUGAGUUUAAAUCUCACCUGAGCUG
rfam:Aedes albopictus isolate Foshan contig138416, whole genome shotgun sequence.